rnacentral:piRNA from 1 species
AGGCAGCCUUUCUGUUAAAUGUGGGA